GACGAACGCUGGCGGCGUGCUUAACACAUGCAAGUCGAACGGAAAGGCCCUGCUUUUGUGGGGUGCUCGAGUGGCGAACGGGUGAGUAACACGUGAGUAACCUGCCCUUGACUUUGGGAUAACUUCAGGAAACUGGGGCUAAUACCGGAUAGGAGCUCCUGCUGCAUGGUGGGGGUUGGAAAGUUUCGGCGGUUGGGGAUGGACUCGCGGCUUAUCAGCUUGUUGGUGGGGUAGUGGCUUACCAAGGCUUUGACGGGUAGCCGGCCUGAGAGGGUGACCGGCAAAAUUGGGCCGGGGAUACGGCCCAGACUCCUACGGGAGGAAGAAGUGGGGAAUAUUGCACAAUGGGCGGAAGCCUGAUGCAGCAACGCCGCGUGCGGGAUGACGGCCUUCGGGUGGUAAACCGCUUUCGCCUGUGACGAAGCGUGAGUGACGGUAAUGGGUAAAGAAGCACCGGCGAACUACGU
rnacentral:rRNA from 1 species